rnacentral:rRNA from 1 species
CCCUUAGACGUUCUGGGCCGCACGCGCGCUACACUGACCAGCGCAACAAGCAUCCGUCCUUGGCCGACAGGCUCGGGCAAUCUUUGAACGCUGGUCGUGAUGGGGAUAGACUUUUGCAAUUUUUGGUCUUCAACGAGGAAUUCCUAGUAAACGCAAGUCAUCAACUUGCAUUGAUUACGUCCCUGCCCUUUGUACACACCGCCCGUCGCUCCUACCGAUUGAAUGGUCCGGUGAAGCGUUCGGACCGUGGCCUUUGGACGGUUCGCCGUCUGUUGGCUGCGGGAAGUUCGUUAAACCUUAUCAUUUAGAGGAAGGAGAAGUCGUAACA